rnacentral:rRNA from 1 species
AUAAGCUAGCCGCUGCACCAAAAAACAACACCCCAUAUUAAUAACCCCUAAAACACUCAAAUAUGCUUAAACAAACCAUUUUUCCCCCUUAGUACGGGCGACAGAAAAGGAACCCACUCGCGCUAUAGAAAAAGUACCGCAAGGGAACACUGAAAGAGAAAUGAAAUAAACCAGUCAAGUCCAAAAAAGCAGAGAUCCAAACUCGUACCUUUUGCAUAAUGGCUUAGCCAGAAAAUCUCAGGCAAAGAGCACUUUAGUUUGACCCCCCGAAACUAGGUGAGCUACUCCAAGACAGCCUAAAAUAGGGCAAACCCGUCUCUGUCGCAAAAGAGUGGGAUGAGCUUCGAGUAGCAGUGACAGGCCUAUCGAACCUAGUUAUAGCUGGUUGCCUGAGAAAUGAAUAAAAGUUCAGCCUUUCAAAUUCUUCCCUCGUUUUGAUACCCCCAGACAACAAAAGAAGUCGAAAGAGUUAGUCAAGGGGGGUACAGCCCCCUUGACACAGGAUACAACUUUUCCAGGGGGGUAAAGAUCAUAUAUACGUUAUUAAGGUUCAAUGUUUUGGUGGGCCUGAAAGCAGCCACCCUUACAGAAUGCGUUAUACCUCAAAUAUUAAUAUAUACCCUAAAUUCUGAUAACCUAAUCUCAACCCCCUAAUUUUACCAGGCCGUCCCAUGCCGCCAUGGGAGUGACCAUGCUAACAUGAGUAAUAAGAGGGCAUCCAACCGCCCCUCUCCACGCACAAGUGUAACUCGGAUUGGACAUCCCGCCGAACUCUAACGACCCCAAACAAGGAGGGCCUUGAACAACAAACCCGCCAACUAGAAAACUAUUCAACUCUUUAACCGUUAAACCUACACUGGUGUGCCCCCAAGGAAAGACUUAAAGAAAAAGAAGGAACUCGGCAAACACAUUAAGCCUCGCCUGUUUCCCAAAAACUUCGCCUCUUGCCCCCCCCCCAAAUAAGAGGUCCAGCCUGCCCAAGGACCAUGUGUUUAACGGCCGCGGUAUCUUAACCGUGCGAAGGUAGCGUAAUCACUCGUCUUUUAAAUAAAGACCCGUAUGAACGGUAAAACGAGGGCUUAGCUGUCUCCUUUUUCAGGUCAAUGAAAUUGAUCUUCCCGUGCAAAAGCGGGAAUUAUAACAUAAGACGAGAAGACCCUGUGAAGCUUUAGACACCAAGACAGCCCCCGUCAAACCCUCCUAACAAAGAACUAAACAUCAAACCCUGUCUCAACGUCUUCGGUUGGGGUGACCGCGGAGAACCACUAAACCCCCGCAUGGAAUGGGGACACAACAUAUAAUUAUAUCCCCAAAGCCAAGAGCCUCCGCUCUAAUACACAGAAUUUCUGACCUUACAUGAUCCGGCAACGCCGAUCAAUGAACCAAGUUACUCCAGGGAUAACAGCGCCAUCCUCUUCCAGAGCCCCCAUCGACAAGAGGGUUUACGACCUCGAUGUUGGAUCAGGACAUCCUAAUGGUGCAGCCGCUAUUAAGGGUUCGUUUGUUCAACGAUUAACAGUCCUACGUGAUCUGAGUUCAGACCGGAGCAAUCCAGGUCAGUUUCUAUCUAUGACUUAAUCUUUUCCAGUACGAAAGGACCGAAAAGAAAAGGCCCAUGCUCUAAGCACGCCCUAUCCUCACCUGUUGCAAACAACUAAAAUAGAUAAGAGGAGAUAUCUACACUAAGUACCAAACCC